AUAAUAGAAAGCCACUCUUUGCAAACGCACUUGCAGUUCAAGACGGUCUUGAAGCAGACUAUCCUUGAGAGAAUGGCCACCACCAAACCCCGCGGAAGAUAUUGAAAUUUGCUGCUCAUCACUGCUCUGUUUGCAAUCGGAUUGUGCCAUUCGAGUUCCAGAAAGAAAGGAAAUAAACAAAUCAAAGAUUCAAAUUUGAAGGGGCUUUCUCUGCUGCACAAUAGUAAGUACACAAAAGAAUACACGAUGAUUGGUUUCUUAAUCGUUUGGUUUAUGGUUUAUGAUCUACAUCUCAAAUCACAAUAAUAAAUAGAUAUCGAAUCACACUAUCUAGCCCAAAAUUUCAAGCAAAUUCGGAACUGAAAUUUCGAACAAGCCUUGAAUUACAAUUCUAACAACGCCUAAACUGUGAAAUUUCGCAAAUAGAUGCGUUCCAUAAAUAAACAAUUAAAAGAGAAAAGCGUAGUAAUUUUAUGAAUCGAAAAGACGAGCUCACCGGCGAUUUCGAUAUGGUUUUUAUAGCCUUCUGGUUUUAGAGAGAGACAGAGACAGAGAGGAAAGAGAAAAGACGUACCGAAACACGCAGGUGCCGUCGUGAGUCGGGGAAACCGGCUCAGGAGAAGGGAGGGUCUUGAGUGACUUCUGGAACUCAAAUCCUAAAUGCAGUUAUAAUUU
rnacentral:lncRNA from 1 species